UGUGUGUGUGUCUCUGUAUGUGUGUGUCUGUAUGAUACAGACACAUACAUACAGACACACACACACA